rnacentral:rRNA from 1 species
AUGACGAAAAACAAGCGACGGCUGAUGAGAGGCGAUGAAGAGCAACAACGCCCUUACAAAAGAGCAACUAGACCAAGAGCCUUGAGUGAACUCAGUGAGCAAGUGGUUUCAAGAUUGCGGAGGAGUGUUGUGUCGCUCGCUUCAUUUGAUGGUGACACCAAGUUACGCGAAUGCACAGGCAUAUGCAUUGAAACCUCGUGUUCAGAUUCCGAAGCUACAAUCCUGACAUCGAGACGGUUGGUUCCACCUACUUGGCCUGCAAGUUUGACGAUUAAAGUAGCCUUCCAAAUGAUCAGAUUGUCACUGGGUGGAUUGAGGAUCCUGGGAUAUAUGUUGAUUUUUUCAUUGUCAACAUCAAGGAGGUGUCUAGAGUUGAUGCCACAAGUCUUGACCGUGACAUACAGUUUGAGCCUCAUACGAAGGCAGCAGCUGUAUGCCGCUGUUUCAGUUCUGGAUUUUUAA